UACAGAGGGUGCGAGCGUUAAUCGGAAUUACUGGGCGUAAAGGGCGCGUAGGCGGUUAUGUAAGUGUAAUGUGAAAGCCCCGGGCUUAACCUGGGAAGUGCAUAGCAAACUGCAAAGCUAGAGUAUAAGAGAGGGUGGCGGAAUUUCCGGUGUAGCGGUGAAAUGCGUAGAGAUCGGAAGGAACGUCAAUGGCGAAGGCAGCCACCUGGCUUAAUACUGACGCUGAAGCGCGAAAGCGUGGGGAGCGAACAGG
rnacentral:rRNA from 1 species